AUUGAUGGGAAGUAAGUCCUCUGGCUGUUGUAAAUAGCCACUUUUUCCUCCUGAUACUGAGAAUUGAACCUAGGGCUUCAUACAUGCUAGGUGAGUGCUGUGCCACUGAGCUAUACUCCCAGCCCGUAUGAACACAUUUCAAUCAGCUUUUUUUUUUUCUUUUGCUGCUAAGAAUUCUCAAAGCUUGUAAUGGAGUAUUUUAUUUAGAUUUCAAAGUGUGGUCAUUUAGCAUUCAUUCCAUGAGGUAGACAAGCUGAAAACUUGAAUAGCAGCCUUUCACAGGAACACAAACAAAGCAGACAGGGUAGGCCAUUGAAUGCAUCAGCACUGCUAACGUGUUUCAGGUUGCCAUGACAAGAAUCAUGGAGCUGAGAGCAGCCACAAUUUGGCCUGCUCACAAGAACCAGAAGAUUGUUCAUGUUGUUCAAGUCAGUAUUUUUUUUUUUAGUAUUAAAAAAAUGAGAUGUGAAAAUUUUGUUUUUGUUAGAUGACAUGUUGAUAGCUGCUAGUGCUUUGCAACCAAAAAGAUGUCACUUUUUAAAACAUACUUUUAUGUUUUGCUUUGCUUUGUUUUUAUACUCAGUAUAAAUCAGGAAAAGUUGGCCAAUUACCUAGCCUUUAGCAUAGUCUUUGUGUUUUCUUCUAAGGAUAUGGAUAUCCCAUAACAGCAACAAAACAUCAAUAAUAAAACCAUUUUAUAAAUAUCACUUGCUUCUUAAGCUCCUGCUUAACUUUGAAUGUGUCUCAAAUAUUUGCUACGUAUAUUCAAUAAAGCAUGCAAAACAUAACAUGCAUUCCAAAUUGUCUUCCCUGUUAUGAUUUAACAGCUAAACUGUACAAGCUUAGGUGAUCCUGGCAUAUAUUAAAGAUAAAUUCAAAUGAAUGUAUAACACACAAAAAAGGAGAAACCCUAUUUGAAUGAAGUAAUGCUUUUGAUGAUAAUAACCUUGGCUUCAGAUAUCCUUCAAAUGCACAGUUACACUGUAUUCUGAUUGUUUAUAAUAAAGAAUACCGUACACUGGCAUGUGUUUUAGCUCAUUUUUCCUACAAAAUUCAUAACAGCAUUCACUGUAUGUGGAUCUUCAGGCCCUCACCACAAUUAAUCUUAAACCAUCCUAAUUUGAAAAUAGAAC
rnacentral:lncRNA from 1 species